AACGAACGCUGGCGGCAGGCCUAACACAUGCAAGUCGAGCGAGGACUUCGGUUCUAGCGGCGGACGGGUGAGUAACGCGUGGGAAUGUGCCCUUCUCUACGGAAUAGCCCUGGGAAACUGGGAGUAAUACCGUAUACGCCCUAUUGGGGAAAGAUUUAUCGGAGAAGGAUCAGCCCGCGUUGGAUUAGGUAGUUGGUGGGGUAAUGGCCCACCAAGCCGACGAUCCAUAGCUGGUUUGAGAGGAUGAUCAGCCACACUGGGACUGAGACACGGCCCAGACUCCUACGGGAGGCAGCAGUGGGGAAUCUUAGACAAUGGGGGCAACCCUGAUCUAGCCAUGCCGCGUGAGUGAUGAAGGCCUUAGGGUUGUAAAGCUCUUUCAGCUGGGAAGAUAAUGACGGUACCAGCAGAAGAAGCCCCGGCUAACUCCGUG
rnacentral:rRNA from 1 species